AUGUGGACUGGAAUGGUAUGUUUAGGACAUUCUAUGAAAAAUGUGAGGAUUAAGAUUUCCUGCAAGGACCCCAGGAAAAUUCCUUUUGAGAGGUUGAUUGAGAUGAAGAAGAAGUUAUUCUUAAUUGGCUUUAUUGUGGAAGGUUUUGAACAGAUGGGGGGCAAAAACUGUAUGGUGGAAAUUGAGGAUGAAAAUGAAGAUGAUGACCUUGAGGAAGAUAAUGGCAACCAAGAACCAAAUGACCUAUCCAAGAACAUUGAUGAUGAUGAACUCAUUGAUGAUGAAACUGCUAUUGAUGAUCUUGAUAAGGCAAACUUUAAAACUCAGGGUGGUACUAGUUCUUCUUCUAAGAAGAAAAUGAGCAACACUUUAUCUGAAUAUCAAGGUGGUGGUCAGGAAAAACUCAAUAUGAUGGACAUGUCAAACAAGAAGAGUGUGUUUGAGAUUGAGGUGUGUGAGGGGAUUUAUUCCAAGAGUGUAGAUGUCACUUCCAACAAGACUGAGGGGAUAUGCACUCCUGAAAAAACUUGGACUAAAAAAGAUGAUGCUGGUAAUCAGAGUGGCUAUGUGGACUACUGUAUGAACCUUCUUAGCUCAGUGGACAUGUCUGUGUCUGAUGAUGAGGAAUAUGUUGAAGAGGUGGAUGUGGGAGUUCUCUCCCCUGGGACUGUUCAAAAAUUUCAAGAAUCUGGCAUCAAACGUUCACUGCUGGAGACUUUGGACCAAGCUAGAUCUGGGGGAAUCAAAGUUGACAAGAACUUAAAAUGGGGGCCUGUUAAAGCCCAGAAGUAUGGCACUAGGGUUCAUGGGAAUGUGGACAUUAUCAAAAAUACUGCCCAGUAUAAGAUGAAGAAAAUUUUUCCCUACCAAUGA
rnacentral:rRNA from 1 species